rnacentral:lncRNA from 1 species
CUGACAGUUUGGUGAUUGCCAUUGGGGCAGUGAGCCUUUUGUCCGUUCUGAGGUUGGGCUGGUUUCUCCUCUUGGCCCUGCCCUACAGACCAUAAAGGAAAUCAGCAAGAAGUCCCCAGCAAACAUCCACAGAUGGCCCUGGACAUCAGCCACAUUCUGAGAAACAUGUCAUGUUCUGGGAGGGCUAAGGCAUCAACCUCACCUUGCAGGAAUCCCAGUGAAUAUAUUGCCACCCUAUUUGAGCUCAGUGCCCUCAUAGUGUAAUGGCACCAGCAGAUCUGCCUGUGCAUGGACUUCCUGUACUACCCAUUCCUGAGGGGUGAUGCUUCUGCAGGGCCUGUGACCUGGUGCACAACUUUAGACACCAUCAUCCUGGAGCAGCACUGCACCCUCACUAGCCAGGGUGUUCAUGACUUCCUCAAGGCCAAGGCCACGUUCAAGACUUGGGACUUCAGUGAUGCACUUGUGCUGGGCAAGGUGGCUUCUCCGGUAUCUUAAUUUGGGAGGUAGAAUGCAGCUUGAAAUCAAAUGUCUGAUCAAAGAACUUGAACUUGAUCUGGAGGGCUCUGGGGAGCCAUGGAAGGUGCUGGAUAAAGGAGGGACAGUCAGAUAUGUCUUAGAGAUGACUGUAGAAGGCUGCCUGGAAGGAAUGAACAAGAGCCAGGAGACGCAGGAGGGAGCUUGUGGGGCAGGUCUGGAGAUGGCAAGGGAGGGAUCCUGCUUGGAUGAAAAGUCUUCAGGGACUGUUUCAGGUUACACUCAGGUGCCCUCAGAGCUAAUGUGUUCAGAGGUCUUGUCUCCAGGAUGAAAAUGGGAAGGAGUUGUCAGAUGAGGACAUAUAAAUGGAGGCUGGCAUCUUCAUGAGUACCAGCGGUGGUCCCGGUGUGGGUCUCUCCAUCCAGGGACAUGGUGGAUGGACACUACAUCAUUCCAUUCUGCCCUUCCUUUCCCUCCUCCCAUUCUCCCGAGGGCCUCAGUGCAUGGGCGGUGUCCAACCUCUGGUGCUGAAGCAGCCGAGAGACCCAAGCCUGCGUGGCUGCCUCUUAGGAUAUGACAGCACAGCCACUGGGCUCUACUGAAUCCUGUGCAACCUCAGAAGACACCCAGGAGUGAUGCCAUCACGUGGUGCAAGAGUUCUGAGGGACCGCAAUCCUGAAGACAUUGAAUGGCUGUGUUCCUGCUCACUGCUGGAGGCGCUGUCAGGGGCCCUGUCCUCAACCCCGGGUCUGACCCUUGCAGAUCAGGCAGGACAUUCUGGAGGAAUCAUGCCCUUGGAAGGAUCCCUGAGGAGUGACUGUUGUUAGAUUAAAAAACAGUGGCAAAGAGCAAUACAGAGAGUUGCCAAAAUUCACACCGCUGGUCCAGGUUUGAAGCAAGCAAUCUGUACCUGCAGUCCUUGUCUGUAACCAUGGCACCCUGGCUUCUCACACAUCUCAUCGUGGAGUUCCACCAUGUGUCAGGCAUGGCACUGAGCACCUUCUUUUAAGAAUAUAAUUUGUAAUUAUGUAGAUUAUUAAUUCUACUUCAAAAUGCCACACAGCCUUCAUGUGAUAAAAUGAAACAAUUGCUCAACUGAUCUCCUGGGAUCUCUACUAAGAUGUUGGCAGCCCGGCCAGCUGGUCUGGCCCUGGACGUGCCUUCAGGGUCUGGUUAUGCUUCAUGACCUGCAUUGUGGUCAGUGGUAAGCAGCACCUGCUUCUAGCUUUACUGUUGGGUCAGAUUUUAUCCCCACUCCAGCUCUGCAGUGUAGCUGCUUCUUGAUUCAUCCAUGGACCCUGCACGAAAUUGCCCCAUGUUUCUGUUUGUGCAUCACUGAGGAAGGAAGCAUGAAGGACGCACAGGUCAGGCCAUUCCAUUGCCCUCCUGGUGCUGGGUUUGCCCUCCCAAUCCUGGGGUUGCUUCAGGGGCUGGUCGUUCUCCAUAGCCCCCUCCACAUUUCUCAGGUUUCUGCUCAAAAGUCACCUUUUGGAGGGGUCUCCACCUGUCACUGUGUUUGUAAUAGCUCCUUCGGUUUCUUUCUAGCUCAUCUCACUCUGGUAAUGUCUUUGAUUACCACCACCAUCUGACCUGGUCUUAUGACCUGUUAGCUUCCUUCAUCAGAUGUGAGCACCAGGAUGGCAGGGGCCUCAUCUGUCCUCUUCCUCCUGUGGCCUGGGUCCUAGCACCAUGUCUGGUACAGUGUAGAUGCUCAAGGGAAGUUUACUUUGUAGAACUGUUUAUCUGGGAGGUGUUACUGUUGGUCUAACCUGUACCAUAUUGUAAACCUCCAGCCAUUUUGCAGACUUUGAUCACAGUGAAACGUUCCAUGGGAACUUGGGCCAUGAGAAACAUCCUUCCUAACCACGUGACUGCAGAAACAUCCUUAUCACAUCCUCCUGGGCAAAGGCCCAACAGCCUGACUGCAGGGACAUCCUUGCCAUAUCCUGCUGGGCAGCAAGCUCUACCACCCAGAUCCCUCCCUCCCAGUCCCAUGAUUACCCCAGCCUGUGAGUGGCAGUUGGUUCUGGCACUAAGCUGGUUUCCUCCUCCCCAGGGUUUUGCUGGCAAUAAAGAUGUUGCUGUUG